UACAGAGGGUGCAAGCGUGGUUCGGAAUUAUUGGGCGGAAAGGGCGCGUAGGCGGUGAGGGAAGUCGGAAGUGAAAUCUCUGGGCUCAACUCAGAGUCUGCUGUAGAAACUGCCGUGCUUGAGUGUGGGAGAGGUGAGUGGAAUUCCCGGUGUAGCGGUGAAAUGCGUAGAUAUCGGAAGGAACACCUGUGGCGAAAGCGGCUCACUGGACCAUUACUGACGCUGAUGCACGAAAGCUAGGGGAGCAAACAGG
rnacentral:rRNA from 1 species